rnacentral:rRNA from 1 species
CCUACGGGAGGCAGCAGUGGGGAAUAUUGGGCAAUGGGCGCAAGCCUGACCCAGCAACGCCGCGUGAAGGAAGAAGGCUUUCGGGUUGUAAACUUCUUUUGUCAGGGACGAAGCAAGUGACGGUACCUGACGAAUAAGCCACGGCUAACUACGUGACAGCAGCCGCGGUAAUACGUGGGUGGCAAGCGUUAUCCGGAUUUACUGGGUGUAAAGGGCGGGUAGGCGGGACUGCAAGUCAGAUGUGAAAACCACGGGCUCAACCUGUGAACUGCAUUUGAUACUGUAGUUCUAGAGUCCUGUAGAGGCAGGCGGAAUUCCUAGUGUAGCGGUGAAAUGCGUAGAGAUUAGGAGGAACACCAGUGGCGAAGGCGGCCUGCUGGACAGCAACUGACGCUGAGGCGCGAAAGCGUGGGGAGCAAACAGGAUUAGAUACCCUUGUAGUC